CCUACGGGAGGCAGCAGUGGGGAAUAUUGGGCAAUGGGCGCAAGCCGGACCCAGCAACGCAGCGUGAAGGAAGAAGGCUUUCGGGGUGUAAACGUCUGUUGGCAGGGAAGAAGAAAGUGACGGUACCGGAGGAAUAAGCCACGGCUAACUACGGGCCAGCAGCCGCGGUACUACUUAGGUUGCAAGGGUGAACCGGAUUGAUGGGGGGUAAAGGGGGGGUAGGCGGGCGCGCAAGUCAGAUGUGAAACCUCAGGUCUCAACCCUGGGCCUUCAUUUGUAACUGUGUUUCUUUCGUGCUGGAGAGGCCAUCCGACUUCCGUGUGUCGCGGUGUCAUGC
rnacentral:rRNA from 1 species